rnacentral:misc_RNA from 1 species
GUGAAUCAUCGAAUUUUUGAACGCAAAUUGCGCUUGCUGGUAUUCUGGGAAGUAUGCCUGUUUGAGGGUCAGUAUUAACAAAAAAUCGGUUUCGUUGCAAAUCGUGAGGAUUCGGGAGUUUGGGCUUAUGUUAAGUUUUUUGGUUAAGGGGCUUAAAAUUGACCUUUUUUGAGCACUUUUAGACGUACAUAAAUUUUUUUUAUUCGUCUAUUUUUAAUGCCAAAAUCUUAUUAGAUGCGAUCAAAGC